GACGUAGGGCGCGAGCGUUGUCCGGAUUUAUUGGGCGUAAAGAGCUCGUAGGCGGUUUGUCGCGUCGGCCGUGAAAUCUCCACGCUUAACGUGGAGCGUGCGGUCGAUACGGGCAGACUUGAGUUCGGUAGGGGAGACUGGAAUUCCUGGUGUAGCGGUGAAAUGCGCAGAUAUCAGGAGGAACACCGGUGGCGAAGGCGGGUCUCUGGGCCGAUACUGACGCUGAGGAGCGAAAGCGUGGGGAGCGAAUGGG
rnacentral:rRNA from 1 species